AUUGAACGCUGGCGGCAUGCUUUACACAUGCAAGUCGAACGGCAGCGCGGGCUUCUUCCUGGCGGCGCGUGGCGAACGGGCGAGUAAUACAUCCGAACGUGACCAGCAGAGGGGGCUAGCUCGGCUACAGCCGGCUUAAUACCGCAUACGACCUGAGGGUGAAAGCGGGGGAUCUUUGGACCACGACGGUUUUGCUGUCCCUUGGACAGGUAUCCAAGCCGGAUUAGCUAGUUGGUAAGGUAACGGCCUACCAAGGCGACGAUGCGUAGCCGACCUGAGAGGACGACCGGCCACACUGGAACUGAGACACGGCCCAGACUCCUACGGGAGGCAGCAGUGGGGAAUUUUGGACAAUGGGCGAAAGCCUGAUCCAGCAAUGCCGCGUGAGUGAUGAAGGUCUUCGGAUUGUAAAGCACUGUUAUCGGGAACGAAAAGGAGUGUAAGAAUACCACGGUGCGAUGACGGUACCCGCAGAGUAAGCACCGGCUAACUACGUG
rnacentral:rRNA from 1 species